AAAUCGUACCCCAAACCGACACAGGUGGUCAGGUAGAGAAUACCAAGGCGCUUGAGAGAACUCGGGUGAAGGAACUAGGCAAAUGGUGCCGUAACUUCGGGAGAAGGCACGCUGGUGUGUAGGUGAAGCCCCUGCGGGUGGAGCUGAGACCAGUCGAAGAUACCAGCUGGCUGCAACUGUUUAUUAAAAACACAGCACUGUGCAAACACGAAAGUGGACGUAUACGGUGUGACGCCU
rnacentral:rRNA from 1 species